CCAGCUCCAAUAGCGUAUAUUAAAGUUGUUGCAGUUAAAAGGCUCGUAGUCGAACUUUUAGUUCUUUUGCAUUGUCCCGUUCCUUAGGGAAUGUUUGUGACGUUGCUAAGGACUUUCCUGGUGGAAACUUUCUUCUGCCCUUUAUUGGGUUGGUUGAAGGAUCUGCCUCAUUUACUGUGAGAAAAACAAGGUGCUCAAAGCAGGCUUUAUGGCUUGAAUGCGUUAGCAUGGAAUAAUAAGAUAGGACUUUGCUUCUAUUUUGUUGGCUCUGAGAAACAAAGUAAUGAUUGAUAGGGAUAGUUGGGGGUGCUCGUAUUUAACGGUCAGCGGUGAAAUGCAUGGACCCGUUAAAGACGAACUUAUGCGAAAGCAUUCACCAAGGAUAUCUUCU
rnacentral:rRNA from 1 species